AUGGGGUUCAUCUCCUUCGUCGGGAGGGUGCUCUUCGCCUCCGUCUUCCUCCUCUCCGCCUACCAAGAAGGAGGAAGCAAACUUGCCCGGCAAGAAGGGACCCCUCAAGCUGGACGAAUGGGUGCUGUGCCGGCUUUAGAACAAGAAGAACAACUGGGAGAAGGUCAAGGUGGAGCAGGACAUGGUUGUGGAGGCAUGGCCUGGACGCUCGUCAACCUCGGCCACUUCAUGAUUACAUACCACUUCUUCCACUGGAAGAAGGGAACUCCAUUCGCUGAUGAUCAGGGGAUGUAUAAUAGAUGA
rnacentral:rRNA from 1 species